UACGUCCGGGGUAGGAGUGAAAUCCUGUAAUCUCGGACGGACCACCUGUGGCGAAAGCGCCUCGGGAAGACGGAUCCGACAGUGAGGGACGAAAGCCAGGGUCUCGAACCGGAUUAGAUACCCGGGUAGUCCUGGCCGUAAACGAUGUCCGCUAGGUGUGACGCAGGCUACGAGCCUGCGUUGUGCCGUAGGGAAGCCGUGAAGCGGACCGCCUGGGAAGUACGUCGCAAGGAUGAAACUUAAAGGAAUUGGCGGGGGAGCACUACAACCGGAGGAGCCUGCGGUUUAAUUGGACUCAACGCCGGACAUCUCACCAGCACCGACAGCAAUAAUGACGGUCAGGUUAAUGACCUUACCUGAGCUGCUGAGAGGAGGUGCAUGGCCGCCGUCAGCUCGUACCGUGAGGCGUCCUGUUAAGUCAGGCAACGAGCGAGACCCGCACCCUUAGUUGCCAGCAGCAUCCAUGUGAUGGCUGGGUACACUAGGGGGACUGCCGCUGCCAAAGCGGAGGAAGGAACGGGCAACGGUAGGUCAGUAUGCCCCGAAUGUGCUGGGCAACACGCGGGCUACAAUGGCCGAGACAGUGGGAUGCGACCCCGAGAGGGGAAGCUAAUCUCCGAAACUCGGUCGUAGUUCGGAUUGAGGGCUGAAACUCGCCCUCAUGAAGCUGGAUUCGGUAGUAGUCGCGUGUCAGAAUCGCGCGC
rnacentral:rRNA from 1 species